AUUGAACGCUGGCGGCAGGCCUAACACAUGCAAGUCGAACGCAGUGGGGACGGGUGAGUAACACGUGGGUAACCUCCCAUCAGAGGGGAUAACACUUGGAAACAGGUGCUAAACCGAUACUGAUGGAGGAACCCGCGGUGAAGUAGCUAGUUGGUGAGGUAACGGCUCACCAAGGCCACGAUGCAUAGCCGACCUGAGAGGGUGUUCGGCCACACUGGGACUGAGACACGUCCCAACUUCCUCCGGCAGGCAGCAGUAGGGAAUCUUCGGCAAUGGACUAAAGUCUGACCGAGCAACGCCGCGUGAGUGAAGAAGGUUUUCGGAUCGUAAAACUCUGUUGUUAGAGAAGCGGUAUCUAACCAGAAAGCCACGGCUAACUACGUGCCAGCAGCCGCGGUAAUAC
rnacentral:rRNA from 1 species